CAGGGGCGGGGCCGGCGACCAGCCGCCGCUGAGCGCAUUUCCACCGCAGCGAUGUGCCGCGACCGGCUCCGGCCCGGUGUGGAGAAGGUAACUCGGGGGCGGCGUCACCCGUGGACGCCGAGUCACCCCGUCCCGAGUGUUACAGCCCCCCCGACAGCGCUGGAGGGACCGGCAGCCCCCGCCGCGCCUCCGAACAGCUUCUACAGCGGAAACGGCGACCCCGAAGGUAGGGAACACCUACGUCUCUAUCGCCAGUUGCUCUUAGCGGGUCUCCGAGGGGCUCUAGACCCCCUACCGAUUCGGCUCAGGUUACCAGGAAAAGACGCCAGCAGCGUUUUUUUUUUUAAAAAAAAAAAAGACUUAGAGAGACACGGAGGGAAAAAAAAACAAAAAACAAAAAAAAAAAAAGAGUCCUGGCCACUGUAAUGUCUCAGGGACAGGUCAGAGAGGGAGUUAGGACAAAAAAUCAAAAAAAAAAAAAACACUGCUUGACAAAAACCAGUGUGCUUACUGUAAACAGAGAGGACAUUGGGCUCGUGACUGAUCAAAAAAAGCUCAAGGGUCUCGGAGACCUAAGCCAAGGGUCCUCAAUCUGGAGGAUUGGGGAGGUCACGGCCAGGAGCCCCCCCCCCCCGGCCUAGGAUAACUCUCAAGAUUGGGGGGCAGCCAGUGACCUUCCUAGUGGACACCGGGGCUCAACAUUCAGUCCUGACCCAUACCGGAGGCUCUCUCAGUGACCGCACAGCUUUGGUCCAGGGGGCCACAGGUAUCGAAGGACCACCAAAAAAAAGGUUCAGCUGGCAUCUGGACAGGACCCAAAGGGACCCCCCUACAAGUUCUAGCCCUUUAAACUGUUCGUGGACGAGAACUCAGGCUUUACAAAAAAAAAUGUUGGUACAGAGACUGGGGCCAUAAAAGCCCGGUAGCUGCAGGAUGGCCCGCCCCCCUGUCUGCGCGUGGUAGCCGCCAUUGCUGUUUUGCUCAAGGAUGCAGGGAAACUAACUUUGGGACAGCCAUUAACUGUGUUAUCCUCCCAUGCGGUGAAAGCUCUGGUCCAGCAGCCCCCAGAUCAAAUGAUGUUCAGACCAGUUGUCUCCCUCAACCCCGCAACCCUACUGCCUGGUUCACGGAUGGGAGCAGCUUCCUCCAAGAAGGAAAACAGAGGGCCGGAGCAGCCGUCACCACCGAAUCGGAGAUAGUUUGGAUCUCACCACUGCCACCUGGAACAUCGGCCCAAAAGACAGAGCUGAUCGCGCUGAUCCAGGCCCUCCAGAUGAUAAAAGCCUGGAGGACCAGGAACUAACAAAAAAAAUGGGGGUAAAAUAAAGCCCCGAGCGACAAGCUUACAUCAUAGAUGGACAGAGGCCUUGCCUACCAAAAAAAAAAAAAAAAAGACCACUAACGUGGUAACCAAAAAACUCCUAGAUGACAUCUUUCCCAGGUAUGGAAUACCCCAGAUAUUGGGGUUAGACAAUGGGCCCGCCUUUGUCUCCCAGCCCUCCAAUUGAUACAAAAGACGGUGUAAAAACCCCUGCCUGCCGGGAACAACUGAACCGCCCGGUGGUGCCUCACCCAUUCAAGAUUGGGGACUCUGUCUGGGUCCGACGCCAUCAAUCCAGGAACCUAGAGCCGAGGUUGACGAGAUAGCGGCUUGGGUCCACGCGUCACAUAUAAAGGCUGCCAAGGAACCCGACGAAGCUGAGGGCACCGAGACAUCUAGUUCAACGCUCUCCAAACCCACUAAAGAUAAGACUCACCCGGGGGUCCCCUUGAUCCCCCUAAUAGUCCUCCUGACAUUAGGAGGGACAUCACCAGAGAGCCUGUUUCCCUGACGCUGACCCUGUUACUGG